rnacentral:rRNA from 1 species
GAUGAACGCUAGCGAUAGGCCUAACACAUGCAAGUCGAGGGGCAUCACAUGAAGUAGCAAUACGGAUGGUGGCGACCGGCGCACGGGUGAGUAACACGUAUGCAACCUACCUGUAAGCGGGGAAUAACCCGUUGAAAGACGGACUAAUACCCUAUAACACAGGGGUCCCGCAUGGGAAUAUUUGUUAAAGGACAACCGGUUGAAGAUGGGCAUGCGUUCCAUUAGCUAGUUGGCGGGGUAACGGCCCACCAAGGCAACGAUGGAUAGGGGAACUGAGAGGUUUAUCCCCCACACUGGUACUGAGACACGGACCAGACUCCUACGGGAGGCAGCAGUGAGGAAUAUUGGUCAAUGGACGCAAGUCUGAACCAGCCACGUCGCGUGAAGGAAGACGGCCCUACGGGUUGUAAACUUCUUUUAUACGGGAAUAAAGUGCCCCACGCGUGGGGUUUUGCAUGUACCGUAUGAAUAAGGAUCGGCUAACUCCGUGCCAGCAGCCGCGGUAA